ACAGAGUUGGUCCUGUUGGGUCUUUUAACCACUUCUGUUUGGCCGGAUAGCACAGCCCCAUUUCCCCCAGGAACCCCCAGACCUAGAACCUGUGAUAGAAGCUCAAAGCACUGCAACCUCGUCUUCCUCAGAACCUUAGGCUCCCUUCAAACCCCUGCUCCGGCGGAUCGGUAACACAUUAACUUGGCUUACUGCCUGCUUAUCUGCUCUUCCGUCUGCCUCCCUGAGUCACGUUCUCCUCUCCAUCAGUCAGGGACGUGGCCCUUGCGGUCCGCGGGCCCCGGGUGGUGGUUCUCUCCUGGGAAGCCUUAGAGUUCUCAUGUCGACCGUGCUGGGCGCGGAGCGAGAAAGGACGUGAUUUCCGGGAGCUGCAGCCUAAUGAGAAGACGAAGCUGAUACCUCCCGGAGAGACUGAGAAGGAGCCUGAGACGGGUCGUGGACAUCCCGUGAAUAUCAGAUACCAUAUUUUGGAGGGGUUAGAAGAAGGGGAUAUGGUGUUCACAUUUGCUUCCACGGAUUCCAAUCAAUCUUCCCUUGGAAACACACACACCCUGGCAAGUAAUCUUUCCUAAGCAAGAGCAAAGCUAUUUUAAAAAGGUGAGAAUUUUCUUAAUCUUUCAUUUUUCCUUCUUCUUAGUUUCCUGUAAAAAGUUAGGAAC
rnacentral:lncRNA from 1 species